AGAAAAUGCAAACCGACCUUUAGUGACAGAAAGCAGAUCAGUGGUUGCCUGGAGAUGGAAGAAGCAGUGGAGAAGGGCAGAAGAAGGAGCAGGAUUACAAAGGAAGUUGAUGGGACCCACAUGUAACCUUGCAGAAGGCACCCAGGAGAGUCAGCGAGGAGUGUGGAACACAUAGCCAGGAUGAGACAAGAGUCUGCUAUAAAGUCAUCAAAAUCUAGUCUCUCCUUUCUUCCAUGGUCCAGGAGUGGACCAUGUUAUCCCAGCCUUCCUUGCAGGUCAAAGACAGCGUACAACAGAGGAAUAUUUGCUAUGACAUCACUGCAAACCUGAUCAGGAAUUAAAAUACUGUAAACUAAAGUUACUGGCCAGAGAGGCCAGAGGCUGGAAUCUUGGGCCCUACAAUGAGAGACUGUUUCUUCCUCUACUUUACCCUAGAUCUGAGGGGGCCAGUACGACAUGCAACUCUAUGUAUAGUGGAAUAGCCUCUUACAGCUUCUGCUUGUCUUUUGAGAGAUUAAGUGGGUAAUAACAUUGGAGACUGAGACUGAGACUAUAUUCUGGAUGCAGUCGUGUCCCCCAAAUAAUAGACAGGCAACAUUUUACAGGAAGAACACACACCCAGUAUUGGGGUGAACAUUCCAUGAGAUUAUCUCCUAAAGCCUUUCAGAGUCCAACUAGGUGCACUCUGAGGAUCCUCGUUUUUCCAGAUGGUGACACUGAAAGUUCGAAGAGUAAAACCACUGUACAGUAGGAACUCAAACCAGGAUUUCAGUCUGGAAGCAUUACUUUGCUCCUCAGUAUCUUCAGCUCUUCUCCUUGUAAAGUAGCGAUGCUUGUGGACUCUGCGGAGGCGGGGACAGUAGGUGCAACAGGGCAUCACAGAGCUUCGCUGCGAUCGUGGUUAUUGUGGCUGCUAUUUAUUUUAACCUGGAAAGCAUGUAGCAUGGACAGUGCUAAUCAGAGAUGGAAAGGAGAGAGAGAACGGACACCAGGAACUGUGGCUUACAGACUAACCAAAAAGCGAGGCAAACCACAGACUGAAGGGUGGCAGAGUCAAGCUAGGGACAGGACAAUGAAUAUGGCUCACUGCCUGUCUCCGAGGAGCCCACGGUUCAUGAAAGACGCUCUCAGUCUAGGGGCUGACUCAUCCAAUUUAGGGAGUUAACUGGAAGGCAUGCCAGACACAUGUUUCAGUAUAACAGGAUGACAAGAGCAGGGGCAGAAGCUAUGGUAUCAUCAAGAUGACAUAAUGGUCCUGGUAUGGCUUUGCUGGGCUACUGCUAAGAGGAUGUCAGGAUGACACAUCAAUACCAGGAGAUGUUUGCUUGGCUAAGAUGUGUGGGCAGAGAUUUUAUAAUGGUCAGAGACAUCCCUGAGAGAGUCCUUCUGGCUGGUAUUUCAUGACACUAAGGAAUUGUGAACGUGAAUAUUUAUAAUCCAAUCAGCGACCCUGGAACAGAUGAGUGAUGUAUGGCAUAUCCAAUCGGAGUGUCCGAGGCUGUCUGCUGCUUAUAUAUAACUGUUGGGGCUGGGGAAUGAAGAAAGAAGAAUGACCCAAAUCCAAGUCCAAAUACUGCCCUGCAUUCCUCGAACAUUUCAAAGUCAUACAAGAGAAAGAAAGAUGGAAGAAACAAAAGAGAUGAUUAUCAAAUGCAAUAUGGUCUGGAUCCUGCUAUGAAAGGAAUAUAAAUGCUCUGGAGAGCAUUUCUGGGCCACUGAGAACAUGGGAAUAUGGCCUAGAAAGGAGCUGUAAGUACUAUGUCAACAUUGUAUUUCCUGAAUUUCUUAACCAUUGUGUGAUUAUGUUAGCAAAUUGUUCUUAGGAAAGGCAUAUUGAAUUAAAGAUACUAUAGGGUAAAGGGGUGUGAUGCCUUCAACAUAUGCUCAGAUGGCUCAGAAAUAUUAAUGGUGUGUGUAUAUAUGCACAAUAUACUGUUAUUUUUCAUAUAUGUAUACGCGCAUGUGUGUGUCUAUGUAUGGAGGAGGCAGAGAGAAAGUUAAUAAAGCAUACGUGGCUAACU